GGCUAUUCGAAGUUAUUAAUAGUCUGGCCUGCUCACUGAUAAUUUGUAUUAAAGAGCCGCGGUAACUUGACCGUGCAAAGGUAGCAUAAUCAUUAGUUCUUUAAUUGAGAACUGGUAUGAAUGGUCGGACAAGAGAGUAACUGUCUCUGAUAUUUAACUGAAAUUGACUUUUAAGUGAAAAGGCUUAAAUGCAUUAGGGGGACGAUAAGACCCUAUAAAGCUUUAUACAUUGGGCUAAGUUAAUUAAAUUGAAAUAAUAAAGGUUUAUUUAGGAAGAUGUAUUGAGUUGGGGCGACUAAGGUAUAAUUUUCGGUAACUGAUUAAGAAAUAUCCAAUAAUAGUUGAUUAGAUUGUAAUUGAUCCUUUUUAAAGAUUAAAGAUUAAGUUACUUUAGGGAUAACAGCGUAAUUUUUUCUGAGAGUUCAUAUCGAAGAAAGAGUUUGCGACCUCGAUGUUGAAUUAAAAUGUCUUUAUAGUGCAGCAGUUAUAAAAGAAAGUCUGUUCGACUUUUAAAUUUUUACAUGAUUUGAGUUCAGACCGGCGCGAGCCAGGUCGGUUUCUAUCUCCUAAGCUUAGAAAGAAUUAUUUUAGUACGAAAGGAUUAAAUAAUUGAAAAAUUUUCAAUAAGUGGAAU
rnacentral:rRNA from 1 species